GGCACUAUAGCUAAGUGGUUAAAGUGACAGAUUAGAACUUGUCUUAUAUUCAUCUGUUACUCUCUGAGUGCGUACGUUCAAAUCCUGAUGGUGUCG